GAUUACCUUAAAAAUGAUUUGAGACAUUUUUCUUCUUUUAUUUUUUAGAUAAAUUUUUGGAAUGUGGAGAAUCAGUCUACAGAGCAAAAUACACAGUAAAAAGAGCGAGAAGGACCCCUGGCCCACACUCUUCUGGGCUGGCCAUGCUGGGCAGCAUCCACUGGAAGGCUAUGUGCAGCCACAAACACCUCACUGAAGCAGCUCAGGAGGCCUCCUCACCCACACGCCUGGUGUCUGCACCUUUGAGUCGGGACUUUGGGCCUUCACAGAGCAGAAGCCUUCAGAAAUACUAUAGUCCCUGGAGGUUGAUCUGGAGGGAAGGCCCAGCCUUGGCAGUCCUGUCUGCCACAAUCAGUUAGCCAAGAAAAAUCACUAAGAUCAGACACCAAGGAGACCAGCUCAAGGAGAGGAAAAUUGAAUUGCUUUUCAUAGAGUGAGAUGUGUUAGAGAUUUGUAGCCAUCUGCAAUCAGUCACAAGAAGUAUGCAAAAGUACAAUUGAAUAAGUUCCUUGCCUGGAGUAAAGAAUUUCAACUUAAUGCUUUCAGUAAUGGGCUUUUUAUGUAAAAUGGACAAAAAGAACUUUUGGCCCUGUAGGAAGCUGAAGUCUUCAUGCAGUGAAGCUGCUAGAGGGCCUGGCUGUUGGAAGGCUUGCUGACUAGAUGGCUUCUUUGCAGGAACCAUGUCUGUUGAAGAUCACAAGUGUGCAGGUUCUCACAAUCAGACAGAGCACCUUUGCAUCCAUCUCAGGCUGGUUUGCCAUGAUGGAACAGAAAAGAUCAUUCUACUGCCAGCCUAAUCCCGAUACCUCCCAGGCUGUGGAUGUUUUUAUCCACAAAGUAAAAUUAAUGGAAUGAUUUGAAGUGUGCACACACUGAUGAUUUCCUCACAAACAC
rnacentral:lncRNA from 1 species